rnacentral:miRNA from 1 species
GAGCUGGAAUGGACCUCAGAGG